ensembl:lncRNA
AUCGCUUGCUCCGGUGUUGCACUUCUUUCCACUGACUGUAAAGAAGAGGGAAUAAGUGGCACAUUCAGACCAUGGCAGAAAUGAAUAGCCUGAUGUAGUUUCCCUCUGUUUUGCUUAGGGAUUACUCAUUAAUUAACCUUUUUGUUUUUAUUUUAAACUCUCCCAUGGGUUUAUCUAACACCCUUCAGACACCGCUGCAGGCGGAGCACCAGGAGUCAGCCGUGCCUGGCACAACCCAGGGAGCAGGCUGGUGGCAGGUCACCGCUGCCAAGGUCAGCAGCUCCAGUGCUGCAGGAAAGGAAAACCCUCUGAAACACAGUCUGCUCCUUUUCCCAGCCGCCUCAGAAACAAGGAAGCAAACACAGCAAUGAUAGUGUGUGCCUCCGACACGGUGCUUGUUCUGCAGAUGCUUCUCACACACCCCCUGAGGAUAUAGGUGUCCACGUUCAUUGCAUCUGCUGGAGCUCUGCCACGUGCUCCAUGGCUGUGUGUAAUGAAUGCUGGCAGCAGUCAGUCUUUCAGCAAAGGUGUACCUGUACUGAGACUGUUCAUGCCCUCUUACUCUUUGCAGGUUGGUUGUCAGGGUGAGAAAAGCAGGGCCUGGAGCUAUUCGGCUCCAUGCUGUCUCGGCUGCUAUCUGCUGCAUGCAGGUAUCUGGUUUGUAUCACAAAACAAGGUGAUGCACAUUAAAACAGGUAAGAUAGUAAUGCAUAUACCCUAUGCACUAAGGGACAGAUGCAGUCUGACAGCUUUCACCCCCCCCCCCCCCCCUUCAGUUUCAGUUUGCUUUGUUUUUGCCAAAGCUAACCUCAAGCUGCCCAAUAGCACAGAGGACUGCUGAGUGUUAAUUGGGAACCGUGGCAUGCAGUAGCCUGCCGAAUCAGAAUUUUCCUCCUGAGAAAACUUGCAGUCAAAUUCUUGACUAUCUGUGCAAACUUGUUUGCUGUAAUAUUUGCUAUAAUGUGCUGUGUUUGCUUUAAGUCUGCCCACAAAGUAGCAUCCGAGCGUUAGGGCAGCAUCUCAGAGCAGCGUAUGGCCAUAUCCUUAACAUGUCACGGGAGGAGGACUCGUUUGCAGGCUGUUCUAUAAAGCACAACCAAGUCAGUACGCAGGUCUGACCCCCCUGGGCCGUAGGUCGCCGUCCCGUUGGCUUGCCAGCACGAGCGCAGGACACUGACGAGUCUGUUUAUAAAACCCCUGGGUGGAAAAUAACCAGGAGAGGGGUUCCUGCCAAGUCAGAGCAGGAAAGGUGCUGCAAAUAGCGCAGCACUGUGCCUCCCAGCGAGCAGCGUCCCGGUGCGGAGGCAUUUCUGUUUAUGUAACCUGAAGCAGGCUCUGCUGCUCGGGCUGCGUUUCCAGACUGUUGCUGGGAGCCAGCAAACCAUGCCUCAGGCUGACAACCUUGUUUUCCAAGUAACUUCUGAACUUGUCAUCCGUGGAAUCCGUGGAGGGAGGUCUGCUGCCCCUGCUUGGAUUCUGCCGGAUGACAUAAGAGAGCCACAGCGACCGUAGAGCAGAUGUCUGCAGAGGACACGCCAGGCUGGAGAUGUUGCUUCUACAGUGCAUCACCGCAAUGAAACACCAUGAGCUGAUGUCCACCCGUGCCAAGGGGAGAUUACAAGGGCAUAUCGGGCUACGAACAAACACAGUUUUGGACACAGUGUAAGGAUAUGAAAACAAUGGCAUACAAUUUAUUUACAGAGCUUUCUUACAACUGCACUACUAAGACAUUUUAGAGCUAACUGGGUCCCUAUGCUCCCUAUCUACUCUAUCUCUUGCUGGACGAGUCUCUCUCUGGGCACAUCACACCAGACGGGCGCUGUCAGCUGGCGCUCUCCUCUUCAGUCCAGUUCUUCCUCGGCUGUUUUGGACAUCAACUCUGUCAAAGCUCGGCUUACAGGAGAAGAGUAACUGAAAUGCAAAGGAGAAAAGGCAGUCGCCCUCAUGUCAAAACAAAAAAUCAGAAGGAUAAGAGAAGAAAGACUUUGAAUUGCAAAAACAAAGAAACCUGUAUAGAAAAACAUCUGUGAUUUGGUUUCAACCUCCAAUUCAGGGCAAAGCAUUCAGAGACUGUCAGAGCCCCGCCGGUGUUUCCACCCGAGAUGUGCCCUCAGUGAUGAAGAUGCAGAACGUCUCUGGCCAUCCUCACCUCCUCCGCUGCCCCAGGCUCACCUCAUGGGAACGCCCCUCCCAGCCAGGAGGAGGUGCUGGGAGCUGGGCCAUGCGCACACACACGGCCAUACCUCGCUCUGAGCAGAAGGUGCGUCCUCUUCCCUGUGAUGCUGUGCUGGCAGGACGGGUGUUCCCAGAGCUGCUGUUCUUCUGCCGGCGCUGGAGCAGCAUCAGGCGUUGGUCCUCAUCACAUGCUGGAGGGGAGAGUGGUGUCCCAGGACUCCGUGGCUCAUCUGCAGCAGAGACCAAAGAAAUUCCUGUUAUCAACUUUCAGUAUCGCUAUCAACUCUGUCUAUCAGCUAUCUCACAAUGUCUCUGUCCCCUAUUUCCCAAUCAAAUAUCCCAGUAUGAUAUAACUAUCUAUCUCACUAGCAACUCUUAUGCUUUCCACUAAGUAUCUUCGAUCUACACACCAUCUAUCAAUUACCUGUCUUGCUAUGCACUAUCUUUCCACUAUCUCACUACCAACUAUUUUUCUUGCUGUCAACUGUCUUGCUAUACACUAGGUUUCUUACUAUCCACCAACUCUCUCCCUGUCAAUUCUUUUGCUGUCCACUAUCAACCCAAGAACUGUCUCACUAUCCAACGCUUUCAGCCCCCCACAGCCCCAGGGCUGCCCUCCCCCUGCCCCUCGCACAGCCCGCACUGGGCUGCCAGCCCAUCACCUGCAGCUGCCCUGGUGGGGCCGCAGCUGCAAGCGGGGCAGUGCGGGGCUGCUGGGGCUGCCAGGGAGGCGGCUGCAGCACGAGUACCUUCCUGUGAGCAGAAGGCGCGUCUUCUUCUCCGUGAUGCUCUGCUGGCAGGACGGGUCUCUGCAGAGCUGCUGUUCUUCUGCUGGUGAUGGAGCAGCAUCAGGUGUUGGUCUUCAUCGUACUGAGGGGAGAGUGGUGUCCCAGGGCGCAGUGGCUCAUCUGAAACAGAGACAAAGUUCUUUUCAGCAACUUUCACUAUUGCAGUCUAUAAAUUAACUAUCUCCCAGUCACCCAUCUUUCUAUCCUGCAUCCCCCUAUCAGCUAUCUGGCUAUGAUCUAACUACAUUGCUACUAACUCUUGCUUGCUGCUAACUACCUUCCUAUUCACAAACCACCUCUCUACCAAUAACCCAUCUUGCUCUCUGCUAUCUGUUUACUACCUGUAUACCACCAUCAGCUGUCUAUCUCACUAUCUACGUCACUAUCAACUAAUCUACGUCACUAUCAACUAAUCUACAUCGCUAUCAACUAUCAUCAUACCCUCUAACUAUCUAUACAACAACUAUCUCUAUAUCCUCUUCUUCAUCAUCUACAUCUACCAGCCCCUGAUCCCCCCCGGGGCUGCUCUCCUCCCGUCCCUCACACUGCCCUCUCUGGGCUGCCAGCCCGUGAUCUCCCUGCUGGUAGGCGGGGCUGCUGGGGGCUACUGGAGGCUGAGAUGGAAGCCGGGGUCUGCAGCACGGCCAGAGGAGGGGCUGCCAAAGAAGCCGGGGUCUGCAGCACGGCCAGAGGAGGGGCUGCCAAAGAAGGUGGGGGCUGCAGCACGGCCAGAGGGGCUGCAGCCACCACCGGCCCCAGCAGCACGGGCACUGCCAGCCAGGGGUGGCAAGGGCAGGCAGGGCGGCCCAGGGAGCCCGCAGCGGCGGUGGGCACGGCGCGAGGUUGGGCGCCGUGAGAGGCCGCAGGUGGCACGGUGAGAACACCGUGCGGACGGGCGCGAUGCGGGCGGUGGGUGGCGGCAGCGGGCAGGGCGCCAGGAGCCGCCACGUGUCGCCGCGUGCUGCUGCAGCGGGGGCCGGCAGGGCGGCAGCGGCCGCUCGUGGCGGCGGACGGGCGGCG